UCUCUCCAUCUCACAUCUGCUCCAUGGCCGCCGCCCUCCUCAAACUUCCUGGCCGGCGCCGGCGCCCUAAAUCGUUCCGGCGCCGCUCGCCCUCCACUCUCCCGACCUCCACUACUGGUCGUCUCUCACCUCCACCACCGCCGCCCGGGUCAACCUGCAUCCGCCACCGACGCCCACCUUUAAUGUCUGUGACUUCCACCGUCGCUUGCCUGCAGCUCCGACCCUUGCUGCAUCCCACCUUCGUCGGACCACUCCGCCCAACACGGCUUCCCUGGACGCGAUGAUUGUACCCCGUGCUCCCUGCUCCAGAUCUGGGUAAGUCUGUUGUUGCACAUCCAGUAAACUGCCUGCUCCUCCUCGUCUGACGUGACAGCAGCGGCCUCCUCCUCUCCGUUUUGUCCAAGCCAGUUGAUCCAUUUUUCUGUGCUUGAAUCUGCCAUAUCAAGGAUCCUUUGUUGAAGCUGCAGCCACACUGGUACAACUUUAUAUAUCGCCUCCCUUCACAAAUAAUUUUGGCAGUAAACGUUCAAUUUUAGAAGCAAGUUAGUCAUAUUUUAGUUAGCAAUAUAAGUAAUUAUUUGCAUAGUUGUGCCACUCUCUUUUAGGUUUUGUUUCUCAUCUUUAGAAGUCUUUGUAGUGGAAGGAAGGGCAAGGCAAAACCUGUCUCAGGUACCUCUCACACUUUGGAAAUAUACAUACUUGCCUUUAUGUGGCAAUUAUCUCUCAAAUUGUUACCUUAUUAUUUGUUGCUGUCCUUAUUUAUUUGGCAAAUUACUUAUUUAUGAUGAGGUAGUGUAAAUUGUUUUGAAACUAUACACCAUCUAUCCCUGAUGCUAACUCAGUCUCUCCUCAUAUGCACAGCGCCACUAAUCCAUUCCUCUAAUCUUCUCCUGAACACAUAUUUGGUCGCAGGUACCUUGUUGUUUGGAACAUGUCAUCCCUUGAGCUCGGCACCUGUUCGCAUAUGCCCUGUUCGAAGAGUGAGUCAGUGCGUGUCCGUGCUCUGUUUUACGCGCGUGUGUGUGUGUGUUUUGGUUCAGGUGCAAGCCCAUGGAUGCUGAAGACUAUGAGGAGUACAUACCUCUUCUUUAUGAAGUUCUCGUAGGUCAGCAACAUGAGGGCAAAAAGGGCAGGACCUCGUUAAGAAUGUCGUCCUAGUGGGCACAAGGUCGAACAUGAAGCUACCAGUGAGUAUUGUUUAAUCCUAUCCAUUAUUUUAUAAAGCACCAAGAUGUAGUAUAACAUCUAAUGAUUGCAUUGCUGCCAUAUGCCAUAUCUAAGAUUUACAAAGAAAAACUAAAUGAACAUCCUUUUUUAGUCCUUGAUUAGCUAAAUUAUCAUCAAGUGGACCAGAUUAUCUUGUGGAGCCACUUUAAAAUAUAAAAUAUAUGUUUCAUGGGGCUGUAGGAUAUAUUGUAUAGAUAUGCUAAAAGAUGAAACUUGAAAGAGUUAAGCGGAUAACAACUCAUAUGGUGAAAGAUGUUGGUCAUCAUCUCCUUCUCUUUCCAAUAUUAUUCCCGUUACUUGUGUACAUGACUUUGCAGGGAACACCGAGUUAUCCUCUGUUAGCUUGGAGGAUGGUGCUAUGGGCGACCACGUCGGCAAUGGCAACAGCGAAGGCAACAAUGAUGUUGAGAACAUGGUGGUAACCUAAGGUGACGUAGAAACUUAUGAAGGUGUAGAUGAUGCUCCAGAUCAUGAACCAGUGGACUUAGAAACAUGAGUCUUAUUGUUUUGGGUGGCGGUGGCAUGUAUGCGUACAACUGACAUGUUACUGCUGUUGAGCAAAUAAAACAACAGCAAUUAAAAUUUUCAGAUGUCAUCUACCAGAUGUUCAAUCAUGCAUGGAUACGUGCUAUGUAUAUACUGGUUUUGGAUGCUUGUACGAAGAUAUGAUGUGGAUUUUCACUUAAUGGGAUCAUACGUGGACCAUUGAUAUGUGCUAAUAAAUUUGUAAUUAUAGAA